AGCCAUGCCGCGUGAAUGAUGAAGGUCUUAGGAUUGUAAAAUUCUUUCACCGGGGACGAUAAUGACGGUACCCGGAGAAGAAGCUCCGGCUAACUUCGUGCCAGCAGCCGCGGUAAUACGAAGGGGGCUAGCGUUGCUCGGAAUUACUGGGCGUAAAGGGCGCGUAGGCGGACAGCUUAGUCAGAGGUGAAAGCCCAGGGCUCAACCUUGGAACUGCCUUUGAUACUGGCUGUCUUGAGUUUGGGAGAGGUGUGUGGAACUCCGAGUGUAGAGGUGAAAUUCGUAGAUAUUCGGAAGAACACCAGUGGCGAAGGCGACACACUGGCCCAAUACUGACGCUGAGGCGCGAAAGCGUGGGGAGCAAACAGGAUUAGAUACCCUGGUAGUCCACGCCGUAAACGAUGAGUGCUAGUUGUCGGCAUGCAUGCAUGUCGGUGACGCAGCUAACGCAUUAAGCACUCCGC
rnacentral:rRNA from 1 species